GCCAUCUUGGACUCCUCCUGUUUAUGAGGAAUAUAAUCACUUGACUCAAGUCCCUUUUUUCCAUCAGAGCCGAAUCUUCGCCGGAAGCAUCUGUGCUUUUUGGCAGAGUGGAACAUGGGACACCAGGCCUCAGCACAACUGGAGAGCAUUCAUUGGCCCACCACUCUGAGCAAGACAGACAACAGCUGGCGUGGUGGCUCACGCCUGUAAUCCCAGCACUCGGGAGGCUGAGG